UACAGAGGGGGCAAGCGUUGUUCGGAAUUACUGGGCGUAAAGGGCGCGUAGGUGGCCUUCUAAGUCGAACGUGAAAUCCCUGGGCUCAACCCAGGAACUGCGUCCGAGACUGGGAGGCUUGAAUCCGGGAGAGGGAUGCGGAAUUCCAGGUGUAGCGGUGAAAUGCGUAGAUAUCUGGAGGAACACCGGUGGCGAAGGCGGCAUCCUGGACCGGGAUUGACACUGAGGCGCGAAAGCGUGGGGAGCAAACAGG
rnacentral:rRNA from 1 species